CUUUCUUUUCUUUUCUUUUCUUUCCUUCUUUCCUUCUUUCUUUUUCUUUCUUUUUCCUGAAAUGCUAGAUUUUAAUCAAAUGCCUGAAUCAUGAUUUUGAGUAAAUCUCUGUGCCUCAGUCAUUCCUGUCGGAGAUACUACACUUCACAUGGAUAGCUGCAUUAUCUGUUUGGAGAGAGCAUAAGGGAAGAUGACUUAAUAGUCCAGAAAAGGGAAAACCUGCUGGGUAUGUGGGUGUGUGAGUUUCAGAUCCAUGAACUGACAUAUGCAAAGCAAGAACGUCAUGGUUGGAUUUUUACCCCCACAUGGCUGCCUGAAACUCUUUUAAGCAGGCACUUUCCUCUAGGGACCUGCUUUUCAGUUAGAGGAAAUGAACCAUGCCCGUUGCAGCAGAGAAAUUGCAGAGUGAAAAGGGAUAUGUUCCCUGGACAGAGAUGUGGCUUUUGCUGGCAGUGCUUUACUGUGUUACAUGCCUCAUGAUGCAAUGAUGUAAGAAUAUAGUCACAGAGGGAAGAAGAGCAUUAGACAGACCAACAUGAAGCAUGGAGCAGUUUUGGGUUUCAUACAGAAUGAGAAGUGGAUGCUGCUCCAGUCUAGAACACUGUGUUUUCUUUUCCUCUGAAUGAGUACACCCAGCCACCUUCCUCAUUGUCUGCCAGCCUGUUGAUUUUGGCCUGGAGUCAGCUAGCAGGUCUCCGGUGACAGCUCUGACUAAUGACUGAGAUACUGGAAAGAGUAACUGCAGCUCUCUGCACCAGGAUCCUGAUUUGCCUCCUCAUGCCCAGGCCAGGAGGGUGGUAGAUCAGAGUGUCCCAGCUCACAUGCUGGCUCGCUUUCCCUGGAAAACUCACAGGCAUCCUAAACUGGGGCAUUUCCCUCAAGAAUACUCUGACUCAGCAUUGCAUCUCUGUGACAACUCAGAUUCUCGCCCAGGCCCCUCCUGAAGCAGCAGCUGUCUCAGAAGGUAAAGACAAAACUCCAGAAGAAGUAUUAUUUGUGCUGCUUACAUUACAGUGAUGAACUCCAGCUUCUCUUUUAAACAGAAAGUGCAGAUAUUUCUGUGGCAGUGAAGAAUUUCUGCUAUUCAGCCCAAGAAAUGAAAUAGUAAAACCGGUACUAACAAGCAGUUUUGGGAUGGUGACACAGCACAUGAGCAACGUAUGAAUAAUAUAUUUUUGAGAACCUGGUAAUCCAAGUACUGACAAAAUAUCUCCAGUAUUUCUGUCACUUAACAAUGUCCAUAGACCUCAUACAGUUACAGACUUUGUCACCUACCAUACAAGUGCAAGGGACUGAAGCAUAUCUCCCCCAUUCCUUCCACGCUGCUGCUGACACCCUUGUGAAGGUUCUCAAAAGCCUUCUCUUCUGUACUUGGCUGUUAUAAUACUUGUCUGUGGAUGUAUAACGUUCACCUCAACCCUUGACCUCUGUGAAUUUGGCUUCUGGCUGGAGUCCUGGCAGACAGCUACCUGUCAGCACUUUGCUGGAAGGAUCCUGCCGUCAUCUGUUUCAAGCUCUCUGAACAGGAAAACGAGAGGAGGGUUUUGUAUUUCAAAAGACUAUAGAGCUCAGGGAUGGUUUUUUAAAUGGAAAUUCAGGCUGCUAGAGUCAUUAAAUAUAGUUCUGCUUCUCUUCUAGACUGUGAGAUCAAACAGCCCAGGCAACAGGAGGAAUAUUUGCUGACUUACGGUACAUGUACAAUUUUUGCAGAUUGGUUGGCUUCAUUCUGCAACUUACUAUGAAGAGGACAUAAAAAUGUCAUUGACAUGUCUGGUUUUGUGCUGAAAAAAUCCUAUGCUAAAGCAUUUUUCCCAAUCUAUUUCUGAACUUUUUCUUCAUGGAUAUUCAAGUUCUAGAAUUUGUUUUUCUGGAAUCUGUUGAUAGGUUUUUAAAGAGACUAUAUAGUUUGAAAGUUAUCUCAGUUUUGACUUGCUGAACAGUAUUUGAUUUGAAGGAUCUGGUAGGAAAAUAAUUAAUUUUUAUGAUAAUCCAAUCUAGUAAUGGGGAAAAUAAACCAUAAAAAGUUAUGCAUAAUUUAGUAAUGUCCAAGACCAUAAUCCAGAAAUCUUGACUCCGUACUCAUUACAGAACCAAAAUUUUCACUAAAUUCGUCCAAGCACUUCUUUCAAUUUAGGGUAAAAAUAGCAUUAAAAAAAAAAAAAGAAGAAAUCCCUGCCUGAUUAAUAAUCUAUAAGAGGGAGCCAGUUUAUAUUCAGUUUAUCACAUUUCAGCUUCACAAAACUGAACCCCCAAAAUAUGGGAGCAGCCAGCUAAGGCAGGAGAGCAUCCCUAAACUGAAAUUCAAGUAGUUUUUUUUUAAGGAUGCCUAACCAGAAGUACAUGUUCUUGUAUAAUCUUCAGUUUGAGUGUGUGGACAGUGCUGAUUUGCUGUAGUAAGAAAUGUCUAGUACUUGGAUAGAGUUUCAUUACUUAAGCAAAUGUCUGUUAGUGAAGGUUAAUGUUUUGCAUCUAAAGAGUCCAUUUCACAAUUAUACUACUUAAAAGUGGUUAGUAGCCAAAGUAAGAGA